rnacentral:rRNA from 1 species
GAUGAACGCUGGCGGCGUGCCUAAUACAUGCAAGUCGAGCGAACAGACGAGAGUGCUUGCACUCUCUGACGUUAGCGGCGGACGGGUGAGUAACACGUGGGUAACCUACCUAUAAGACUGGGAUAACUUCGGGAAACCGGAGCUAAUACCGGAUAAUAUUUAGCUUCGCAUGAAGCAAUAGUGAAAGACGGUUCUGCUGUCACUUAUAGAUGGACCCGCGGUGUAUUAGCUAGUUGGUGAGGUAACGGCUCACCAAGGCAACGAUACAUAGCCGACCUGAGAGGGUGAUCGGCCGCACUGGGACUGAGACACGGCCCAGACUCCUACGGGAGGCAGCAGUAGGGAAUCUUCCGCAAUGGACGAAAGUCUGACGGAGCAAUGCCGCGUGAGUGAAGAAGGUUUUCGGAUCGUAAAACUCUGUUGUAAGGGAAGAACAAGUACGUUAGUAACUGAACGUACCUUGACGGUACCUUACCAGAAAGCCACGGCUAACUACGUG